CAGCAGCCGCGGUAAUACGUAGGGUGCGAGCGUUGCCCGGAUUUAUUGGGCGUAAAGGGCGCGCAGGCGGCCACGCACGUCCGUUGUGAAAUCCCUCGGCUCAACUGGGCGGGGUCAGCGGAUACGGCGUGUCUAGAGCAAGCUAGGGGGCAAUGGAAUUCCCGGUGUAGUGGUGGAAUGCGUAGAUAUCGGGAGGAACACCAGUGGCGAAGGCGGUUGCCUGGAGCUUUGCUGACGCUGAGGCGCGAAAGCGUGGGGAGCGAUCCGGAUUAGAUACCCGGGUAGUCCACGCUGUAAACGAUGUCUACUAGGUGUCGGGGGUAUCGACCCCCUCGGCGCCGCAGCUAACGCAUUAAGUCUACCGCCUGGGGACUACGGCCGCAAGGCUAAAACUCAAAGGAAUUGACGG
rnacentral:rRNA from 1 species